CCUACGGGAGGCAGCAGUGAGGAAUAUUGGUCAAUGGACGCAAGUCUGAACCAGCCAUGCCGCGUGCAGGAAGACGGCUCUAUGAGUUGUAAACUGCUUUUGUACGAGGGUAAACGCAGAUACGCGUAUCUGUCUGCAAGUAUCGUACGAAUAAGGAUCGGCUAACUCCGUGCCAGCAGCCGCGGUAAUACGGAGGAUUCAAGCGUUAUCCGGAUUUAUUGGGUUUAAAGGGUGCGUAGGCGGUCGGAUAAGUUAGAGGUGAAAUCCCGAGGCUCAACUUCGGAAUUGCCUUUGAUACUGUUCGGCUAGAGAGUAGUUGCGGUAGGCGGAAUGUAUGGUGUAGCGGUGAAAUGCUUAGAGAUCAUACAGAACACCGAUUGCGAAGGCAGCUUACCAAGCUACUUCUGACGUUGAGGCACGAAAGCGUGGGGAGCAAACAGGAUUAGAUACCCCUGUAGUC
rnacentral:rRNA from 1 species